rnacentral:rRNA from 1 species
GGCCAGCAUCGGUNUUGGUGGUAGGAUAAAAGCAGUUGAACGUAGCCCCUCNGGGUGUUAUAGCUUCUGUUAAUACUGCCNACCNAGACCNAGGCUGCGUCUUUUGACUAGGAUGCUGGCNUAAU